rnacentral:rRNA from 1 species
UUCCGGUUGAUCCUGCCGGAGGUUACUGCUAUCGGUGUUCGCCUAAGCCAUGCGAGUCAUAUGUUCUUCGUGAACAUGGCGUACUGCUCAGUAACACGUGGAUAACCUGCCCUUGGGUCCGGCAUAACCCCGGGAAACUGGGGAUAAUACCGGAUAACGCAUAUAUGCUGGAAUGCUUUAUGCGUCAAAUGGAUUCGUCUGCCCAAGGAUGGGUCUGCGGCCUAUCAGGUAGUAGUGGGUGUAAUGUACCUACUAGCCGACGACGGGUACGGGUUGUGAGAGCAAGAGCCCGGAGAUGGAUUCUGAGACAUGAAUCCAGGCCCUACGGGGCGCAGCAGGCGCGAAAACUUUACAAUGCGGGAAACCGUGAUAAGGGGACACCGAGUGCCAGCAUCAUAUGCUGGCUGUCCAGGUGUGUAAACUACACCUGUUAGCAAGGGCCGGGCAAGACCGGUGCCAGCCGCCGCGGUAACACCGGCGGCCCGAGUGGUGAUCGUGAUUAUUGGGUCUAAAGGGUCCGUAGCCGGUUUGGUCAGUCCUCCGGGAAAUCUGACGGCUCAACCGUUAGGCUUUCGGGGGAUACUGCCAGGCUUGGAACCGGGAGAGGUAAGAGGUACUACAGGGGUAGGAGUGAAAUCUUGCAAUCCCUGUGGGACCACCUGUGGCGAAGGCGUCUUACCAGAACGGGUUCGACGGUGAGGGACGAAAGCUGGGGGCACGAACCGGAUUAGAUACCCGGGUAGUCCCAGUCGUAAACGAUGCUC